CGGUAUUUUGACCGUGCAAAGGUAGCAUAAUAAUUAGUUUCUUGANNAGAAGCUUGAAUGAAUGAUUGGACGAGAAAAUUUCUGUCUCUUUUUAAUUUGUUUUUGAAUUUUAUUUUUAAGUAAAAAAGCUUAAAUUUUAAUAAAAGACGAGAAGACCCUAUAGAGUUUUAUAUUUAAUGUUUAUUUAGUAUUAGAAAUUUUUUUAAAUUUUACUUAUUUAGUUGGGGUGACUGGAGGAUAAAAAUAAUUCCUCUUUUUGUUAAUUGAUGAUUGUUAAAUUGGUUAUCUGAUUUUUUCAAAUAAAAAAUAAAUUACCUUAGGGAUAACAGCGUAAUUUUUCUUUAGAGUUCUUAUUGAAAGAAGAUUUUGCGACCUCGAUGUUGGAUUAAAAUAAAUUUUUGGUGUAGAAGCUAAAAAAUUGGGUCUGUUCGACCUUUAAUAUUUUACNUGANCUGAGUUCAGACCGG
rnacentral:rRNA from 1 species